rnacentral:rRNA from 1 species
CCUACGGGAGGCAGCAGUGAGGAAUAUUGGUCAAUGGCCGGAAGGCUGAACCAGCCAAGUCGCGUGAGGGACGACUGCCCUAUGGGUUGUAAACCUCUUUUAUAAGGGAACAAUAAAUGCUACGUGUAGCAUGAUGCCUGUACCUUAUGAAUAAGCAUCGGCUAACUCCGUGCCAGCAGCCGCGGUAAUACGGAGGAUGCGAGCGUUAUCCGGAUUUAUUGGGGUUAAAGGGUGUGCAGGCGGUUUUUAAAGUUAGUGGUAAAACGUCGGGGCUUCACCUUGAUUGGCCAUUAAUACUGUAAGACUAGAGUUCGUACGAGGUAGGUGGAAUAAGUAAAGUAGCAGUGAAAUGCUUAGAUAU